AACGAACGCUGGCGGCAUGCCUAACACAUGCAAGUCGAACGAGACCUUCGGGUCUAGUGGCGCACGGGUGUGUAACGCGUGGGAAUCUGCCCUUGGGUUCGGGAUAACAGUUGGAAACGACUGCUAAUACCGGAUGAUGUCUUCGGACCAAAGAUUUAUCGCCCAAGGAUGAGCCCGCGUAGGAUUAGCUUGUUGGUGAGGUAAGAGCUCACCAAGGCGACGAUCCUUAGCUGGUCUGAGAGGAUGAUCAGCCACACUGGGACUGAGACACGGCCCAGACUCCUACGGGAGGCAGCAGUGGGGAAUAUUGGACAAUGGGCGAAAGCCUGAUCCAGCAAUGCCGCGUGAGUGAUGAAGGCCUUAGGGUUGUAAAGCUCCUUUACCCGGGAUGAUAAUGACAGUACCGGGAGAAUAAGCCCCGGCUAACUCCGUGCCAGCCGCCGCGGUAA
rnacentral:rRNA from 1 species